AUUCUCUACUACAGCUGAGCGCCAUCUUGGAUUAGUGUAGGGAACUCGUUUGCGGAGACUUUGCAAGGGAAUUACUGAGUGUUACGAGAGAGAAGAAGGGUGAAGAUGCCUGUUAAGGUGAAUCCAGCGAUCCGGUUUUCAAGAUAUGCAGCUCUCUUGGUUGGCUUGGCAUAUGGAUACAAAAGAAAUGAGUACCUCAAACCCAUAGCAGCUCGUGAACGAGAGGUGGAAGCUGCAAGGGCCAAGGAAAAAGCAGAGCUUGAAGCAAUUAAAAAGGCUGAAGCUGCUAAAGUGCCCCUGUUUUAGAUGAGCCACUUCAACUAAUGUGACUGUGAGAACUGUGAAGUUUUCAUUCAUUCUCAGUGUGUGUUGUCUUUGAACCUUCACUCUCUUAUAAUGUACUGUUCUUUCGUGCAGUAUAUGGUGUUAAUGUCAUACAGCCUGUAAUCCUUUGUAUCUGACUAAAAUGUUGAAAUAAAGUUUUUACAAAAUGUC